AAUUUAGUCCAAAUUUCUAGACUAUUUUGUGUAUUAAAUCCCUGUCCAGGACCAGCCAGGGUACACAAAACGACAAGUAAUAUACAGUUCCAAACGUAAAUAAAGCGUAAAAUACUUACAAAAGAGGCACUUAGUCCUCGCACCGAAACGAAAGCAGCAGCAGCGGAAAAGGGCGAUCCUAGCGGGGCUUCAGCUCCACUCCACAGGCAAAACUCAACUGGGGUCUGAGCCUUGGUCCUCUAACUCCAUCUUCAGCUCAGAAGCACUACACUUCUGAAAAAGGGGGAAUAAUAGCAAGACUGAGUACAACCACCGUACUCAGCAAGCCACACCAACGAUGCAGACGUGCAAGGGGAUACAAGGAGGGGUUUGUGGCUAUUUGCAUAAAGGCGGUUGUAAAACAUUUUAUUGAGCAAAACAGUAAAACUGUUGAGUAAUUAAAGUAACAUUAAAUCUCCACUGAUCAACGCUACACCACGUUGAACAGGCCCAACCAACCCACCUGGACUACAGUGUAUUGGGUCGAUUUAUUAAGAUGGGACUAAUCACGGUGAAUCUGGUCGACCGCCCAUAACCGCGGGCACGGCUAUUCGAAUAGUUUUACUCUGAUCAGAGGUGUACAACUGUACCCACAAGACACAGCCCCACAACACGUUUCCGUGCGCCGACAUGCCACCACGACAUAUCGGAAAGAGGCCGUGACAGGACCCUUCGCAUAACCCCCUCUAACCAAGCACACCACACCUCAGGUUUCACCCCCGUCCCCAGCGGGCAACGGGCAGUCCUCUCUCGUGCCUAGGUGAAUCCGGAAGCGACAGAGGCCGUCGCAGGGCCCGCCCCGCUCCAUCACGCCCACCCUUGCCUGGAUGCGUCAGCUAGAGGAAAGCUACACUACAAGCCCAGCCGUUGCCCACGCUGGCUUGUGGUAAGUACGAUAAGUUCUUCCAGGGCAUCCCGCGAACCGGUCCUUAACUGCCAUGGGUGCGACUAGCAAAACCAUGCACCCACAGCCCACUAUUCAGUUGCAUUUUAGUUGGAUAAUUACGACCAUGAAGCAUGGCCGGGUGUCUCGAGCACGCAGCUCACUCUGAUACUAAAGGGUCUAAUACUGCAAUUAUCCCAUCAACUGAGCUAGUGGUAAUUAAGCAUGGCUAAGCAUAUAGUUCUAGCUAGGUCACAUAAGUAACAUGAGCUAGUGGAUUCAUUACCCAAGGUUGACAAAGAACAGAUAUCAAGUAAACAUGGCACAAGCGAGCAGAUAGGUAAUACCCGGAUCCCAUGUAAUUAGUAAAACAUGCAUAUUUAUUUGUAAACGGUAAAACAUUUAUAAAUUGGGAUCAACAUGCUCAAGGGGAAUGUGUGACUUGCCUUGCUGCUUCACUUUGAUCUUCCGAACUCUUUUCCUCGCGACCGCGGACUUCCGAAA
rnacentral:lncRNA from 1 species